rnacentral:lncRNA from 1 species
AGGGUGAGGGAGGGGGUGGGAUGGGUGGGGGGUAACGGGGGAAACUGGGGAAGUGGGGAACCGAGGGGCAACCAGGGGAAGAUGGGGUGCUGGAGGAGAGCUUGUGGGAGCCAAGGAGCACCUUGGACAUCUGGAGUCUGGCAGGAGUGAUGACGGGUGGAGGGGCUAGCUCGAGGCAGGGCUGGUGGGGCCUGAGGCCAGUGAGGAGUGUGGAGUAGGCGCCCAGGCAUCGUGCAGACAGGGCGACAUCAGCUGGGGACGAUGGGCCUGAGCUAGGGCUGGAAAGAAGGGGGAGCCAGGCAUUCAUCCCGGUCACUUUUGGUUACAGGACGUGGCAGCUGGUUGGACGAGGGGAGCUGGUGGGCAGGGUUUGAUCCCAGGGCCUGGGCAACGGAGGUGUAGCUGGCAGCAGCGGGCAGGUGAGGACCCCAUCUGCCGGGCAGGUGAGUCCCUUCCCUCCCCAGGCCUCGCUUCCCCAGCCUUCUGAAAGAAGGAGGUUUAGGGGAUCGAGGGCUGGCGGGGAGAAGCAGACACCCUCCCAGCAGAGGGGCAGGAUGGGGGCAGGAGAGUUAGCAAAGGUGACGGCGAGGACAGAGGAGGCGCGUCCGGCCUUCCUGAACACCUUAGGCUGGUGGGGCUGCGGCAAGAAGCGGGUCUGUUUCUUUACUUCCUCCACGGAGUCGGCACACUAUGGCUGCCCUCUGGGCUCCCAGAACCCACAACAUGAAAGAAAUGGUGCUACCCAGCUCAAGCCUGGGCCUUUGAAUCCGGACACAAAACCCUCUAGCUUGGAAAUGAAUAUGCUGCACUUUACAACCACUGCACUACCUGACUCAGGAAUCGGCUCUGGAAGGUGAAGCUAGAGGAACCAGACCUCAUCAGCCCAACAUCAAAGACACCAUCGGAACAGCAGCGCCCGCAGCACCCACCCCGCACCGGCGACUCCAUCUUCAUGGCCACCCCCUGCGGCGGACGGUUGACCACCAGCCACCACAUCAUCCCAGAGCUGAGCUCCUCCAGCGGGAUGACGCCGUCCCCACCACCUCCCUCUUCUUCUUUUUCAUCCUUCUGUCUCUUUGUUUCUGAGCUUUCCUGUCUUUCCUUUUUUCUGAGAGAUUCAAAGCCUCCACGACUCUGUUUCCCCCGUCCCUUCUGAAUUUAAUUUGCACUAAGUCAUUUGCACUGGUUGGAGUUGUGGAGACGGCCUUGAGUCUCAGUACGAGUGUGCGUGAGUGUGAGCCACCUUGGCAAGUGCCUGUGCAGGGCCCGGCCGCCCUCCAUCUGGGCCGGGUGACUGGGCGCCGGCUGUGUGCCCGAGGCCUCACCCUGCCCUCGCCUAGUCUGGAAGCUCCGACCGACAUCACGGAGCAGCCUUCAAGCAUUCCAUUACGCCCCAUCUCGCUCUGUGCCCCUCCCCACCAGGGCUUCAGCAGGAGCCCUGGACUCAUCAUCAAUAAACACUGUUACAGCAAUU